GACGAACGCUGGCGGCGUGCUUAACACAUGCAAGUCGAACGAAGUGGCGCACGGGUGAGUACUAAGUGGGUAACCUGCCCUCCUUUAUGGGAUAAGCAAUGGAAACGGGGUCUAAUACCGACUAACGGGGGCUGGGCGCGUGGCCUAUCAGCGUGUUGGUGGGGUGAUGGCCUACCAAGGCGGUGACGGGUAGCAGGCCUGAGAGGGCGACCGGGCACAGUGGGACUGGGACGAGGCCUAGACGCGUACGGGGUGCAGCAGUUGGGGAUAUUGCACAAUGCGCGAAACACUGAUGCAGCGAGUCCGCGUGGGGGAUGAGGGCUUUCGAGUUCUAAAACUCUGUCGCUAUCGAACGGGUAGGUGGAGAAGAAGCGCCGGCUAACUACGUGCCAGCAGCCGCGGUAAUUC
rnacentral:rRNA from 1 species